AUAUUUGUAAUACCGUAAUUUGUAUAUCAUAUUCGAUACAGAGAAGAUUAGCAUGGCUCCUGCGCAAGGAAGACACGCGAAAUCGUGAAGCGUUCCACGUUUUU